GGUGAACGCUGGCGGUAGGCCUAACACAUGCAAGUCGAACGGCAGCACAGUAAGAGCUUGCUCUUACGGGUGGCGAAUGGCGGACGGGUGAGGAAUACAUCGGAAUCUACUUUUUCGUGGGGGAUAACGUAGGGAAACUUACGCUAAUACCGCAUACGACCUACGGGGGAAAGCAGGGGAUCUUCUGACCUUGCGCGGUUGAAUGAGCCGAUGUCGGAUUAGCUAGUUGGCGGGGUAAAGGCCCACCAAGGCGACGAUCCGUAGCUGGUCUGAGAGGAUGAUCAGCCACACUGGAACUGAGACACGGUCCAGACUCCUACGGGAGGGAGCAGUGGGGAAUAUUGGACAAUGGGCGCAAGCCUGAUCCAGCCAUACCGCGUGGGUGAAGAAGGCCUUCGGGUUGUAAAGCCCUUUUGUUGGGAAAGAAAAGCAGCAGGUUAAUACCCCGCUGUUCUGACGGUACCCAAAGAAUAAGCACCGGCUAACUUCGUG
rnacentral:rRNA from 1 species